UUCCUCUCAUCUGAUUGGCUGAAGUGAAGAGUCUUUCGCUUCUUUUCAGCCUCUUGGAGAAUUUCCCCGCCGGCUGGAUUCCUCUGUUGGGAUCUGCUCCAUUGGUCACUAUUCUCUGGGAUUCGUACUUUGCUUCUGCUGCGGUGGGGCCAGAACGGGAAACUGCCGCUCCUGCUGGGAGAGCACCAAGUCCUGGGUUUCACCGAAAACGGGAAGAUGGUCGUCUACAUGCGUCUAUUGCUGCAGUCCAAAAAAGUGAUCACCUCUCAACCUUUAAAAAGAGCAGUGUGCCCACCCAAGAUUUUUAUGUCACGGAGGCCUCUAAAGAUCUCUCAGAAGCUUGUUUAGGGACCCUCUGCCUGAAAGUCCAAAAUGCUUGACUGCUUUUCUUCCCAAGCGCCUCUUGACAUAACUCUCGAACUAGGUUACUCAGGACAGAGAAUAGGUGCUCCUGAGCUGAUCCUCAGAAGAUCACAGCCAAGAAGGUUCUGAAGAAAACUUGCUCAUCACAAGUUAUUAGGCUUCAGAUCAUGAGAAUAAGAGAAGUUCUGUGGAGCUGACCUUUGAAAAACUGGUAUACAUUUUUCUGCAUGGUUGUUAAAUAUGAUGAGAAAAAAUAAUGGAAAAUUAUAAUGCAAUAAAGAAAUAAGA